GGCUAGGUUACGUGCUGUGUCGCGAUAGUUGACUGCUAGGACCAUUGAAAACCGCUAGCCGCGUGCCACGACGGGGGCGGAGUCCUACUGGAGCGGAAUCCUCAUUGGUCAAUGUGCAUCCUGGAGGCGGGACUGCGCAUGCCUCGAUAGUCUCCGCGGAGACCAGGCGGGAAUCCUCGCAGGCAGGGCAGCGCGACUCUAGGACCACUAAGUCAUCUGCCUGGAAUAACAAUCAGACUGAUUAUUCUGCUCUCAGUGAUUCCCAAUUCCUCUUUGGAUCUCAGUUUUGCCCAGAAAAUUCAGAGACCUUGUCAGCACCCUUGGACUUGGGUGCUCACUCGAGACAUGCAAAACAACUACAGCAGAACCCUCUGGAUAGUGAACCUAGUAUUUUCACAAAGUACCAGACAAAACCCCACCUCUUUGGAGGAGAGACAAAGGAUGAAGGGUUAUUUUCUCUUCCUUUGCCAGUUGGAAAAUCGAAAUGCCUCUUGAAGCAGUUUGAGGAGAAAAACCAAAGAGCAAAAGACAAAUAUGACAGUGACACUGUAUACAACUUCGUUUCCCAGGUCAGAGAAAGCAUUCAGAGGUUACAGACAUCUGUGGCAGAGUCUGAGGAACGCCUCAGUUCAAGAAGCCAAGCUAUUUUGGACUCUUUGGAGACUGUAGCUAGGACAUUGCAAGAGACUGCACGGGCCCAGAGCGACGCGAGGUUUGAGGCGGUACAAGAGCAAGGCAAAGCGGAGCAGGCCAUCCUUGAGAUGCAGAGGAAAUUCGAAGCUACACGAGCAGAGUUUACGGAGGUGAAGUCCAGCCUGAGGCGCCUCGAGCUCUCGCUCGCCCAGCAGACUGAGGACCGCCAGCGGCUGCGUGAGCGCCUGGGCCAGCUGCCUGUGCCCGCCGUGCUGGCGGCGCGGGGGCCCGGCGCGCUGGGGGACAGCGCUUCGCAGACGUCGCCCUCCCUGGCGCGGAGCCCGGGUCGC
rnacentral:lncRNA from 1 species